CGGACGGGUGAGUAAUGCUUGGGAAUCUGGCUUAUGGAGGGGGAUAACUGUGGGAAACUGCAGCUAAUACCGCGUAUUCUCUGAGGAGGAAAGGGUGGGACCUUAGGGCCACCUGCCAUAAGAUGAGCCCAAGUGGGAUUAGGUAGUUGGUGGGGUAAAGGCCUACCAAGCCUGCGAUCUCUAGCUGGUCUGAGAGGAUGACCAGCCACACUGGAACUGAGACACGGUCCAGACUCCUACGGGAGGCAGCAGUGGGGAAUAUUGCGCAAUGGGGGGAACCCUGACGCAGCCAUGCCGCGUGAAUGAAGAAGGCCUUCGGGUUGUAAAGUUCUUUCGGUAAUGAGGAAGGGAUGUUGUUAAAUAGAUAGCAUCAUUGACGUUAAUUACAGAAGAAGCACCGGCUAACUCCGUGCCAGCAGCCGCGGUAAUACGGAGGGUGCGAGCGUUAAUCGGAAUAACUGGGCGUAAAGGGCACGCAGGCGGACUUUUAAGUGAGAUGUGAAAUCCCCGAGCUUAACUUGGGAACUGCAUUUCAGACUGGGAGUCUAGAGUACUUUAGGGAGGGGUAGAAUUCCACGUGUAGCGGUGAAAUGCGUAGAGAUGUGGAGGAAUACCGAAGGCGAAGGCAGCCCCUUGGGAAUGUACUGACGCUCAUGUGCGAAAGCGUGGGGAGCAAACAGGAUUAGAUACCCUGGUAGUCCACGCUGUA
rnacentral:rRNA from 1 species